GCGCCUGUGGUUUAAUGGCAGAACAUCAGCCUUCCAAGCUGAAAGUGUCAGUUCGAUUCUGAUCGGGCGCUCAA
rnacentral:tRNA from 1 species